GGCAAUGGUAGCUCAGUGGUUAAGAUGUUGGACUACUAAUUCAAUGAUUGUGAGUUCAAGUCCCAAUCCUGCCA